rnacentral:rRNA from 1 species
GACGAACGCUGGCGGCGUGCCUAAUACAUGCAAGUCGAGCGGACUUUCAAGAAGCUUGCUUUUUGAAAGUUAGCGGCGGACGGGUGAGUAACACGUGGGCAACCUGCCUGCAAGACGGGGAUAACUCCGGGAAACCGGGGCUAAUACCGGAUAAUAUCUUCCUUCGCAUGAAGGAAGGUUGAAAGGCGGCGCAAGCUGCCGCUUGCAGAUGGGCCCGCGGCGCAUUAGCUAGUUGGUGAGGUAACGGCUCACCAAGGCGACGAUGCGUAGCCGACCUGAGAGGGGGAUCGGCCACACUGGGACUGAGACACGGCCCAGACUCCUACGGGAGGCAGCAGUAGGGAAUCUUCCGCAAUGGACGAAAGUCUGACGGAGCAACGCCGCGUGAGCGAAGAAGGUCUUCGGAUCGUAAAGCUCUGUUGUCAGGGAAGAACAAGUACCGUUCGAACAGGGCGGUACCUUGACGGUACCUGACCAGAAAGCCACGGCUAACUACGUG